AUGGAUGAUAGUACUUCGCAGUCCGGCAGCUGUGGAGCAGGCGACGCUCGUUAUGGUAAGGACGUCGCUCACGCCGCUGCGCCUUGCCCUGUUGCUCACCCGGAGGGCUCAUCUUCAACUGCUAAGUCGGCAGAUCCACCCGCGCCAACAUCACGCAUCUCCGUCAAGCAUGCAACUAGUGUCAUUCAGAAGUUUGACGACUACAAGAAAUGGUUAGUAGAGCAGAUUGGUUUUGGGGGUAUGCUGAAGCUCCCAGCCGUGCAGAAGCUGAGUUUGGAGUGUAGCGCCUGGAUAAUGAGCAGAGUCAGCGUGAGCCAUAGGGAGAUUAAACUUAGGGAUAACAAGGUACUCAGGUUUUUCACCGAGGAUGUCCACAAGGUUUUUGGGAUCCCAUGCGGUCACCGCAGCGUGAAAGGCAGGGAUGCAAUCAUCAAUCCUGAAGCUGUUCAUUUCAUAAAGACAACACUUCAAAUGGAUAAAACUGGAGUUCAUAGCUUGCGGGCUGCAGAAAAUUUCUUGUUGCGCGAUAUCAAUGAGAAUUCAAGCAAGUUGGAGAAGGAUUGUUUCCAAAUUGCUUUUGUUAUCUUUGUUAUGGGUCAUGUACUAGCACCAACUACUAAGCACAACUACGCCACCAUCGACUACUGGGGGGCGAUUGCAAAUACGGAGGCCAUAGUUCAGUUCAAUUGGUGCGAGUAUGUACUGGUACAACUUCUGGACGCAGUCAAGAAGCUGAAGAGUGACAUGCUGGCAAACAAUCAGUCCACCAAUCUAACGGGCUGCCAUUUUUUCUUCCAGAUUUUCUUGUUGGACAACCUUGAUCUCGGCAUUUUGAACAAGCCUCAUAACGCGAUCCCACGGAUAUCUGACUUCGACCCUGAGUCUUUUCGUAAAAUGCUGAUUAUGGCCGCUGAUCCGGUGAAAGGAAUUACUUCAUAUUCUCAUGCAAAUCUCAGAGAUGCGGCGACGGUCUGCUACACACGGCAGAAGUUUCCCUCAUCCGUUCCGUCGUCAUCAACGAGUAGAAGGCCGCCUAGCGGAUGUGCCACGCCUGCAAUAGGAACCCUUCCAUACAAAACUCCCUUACCAGAUCGCGACGCUGGCCAUCAGAUUAACACUGACGCAGCAAUGCCAUCUUCUGCAGCUCCUGGUCCAAUGGAAUUUGCAAAGUACUUGCGUGAGAAGCACCCACAUCUUGUAGCGGACGAGAUCACAUUCAUUAUGAAACAACAGUAUGCUAGGGGCCUUAUGCAGUUGACACAAGCCAGCAAUUCAAUCCAGCAGGCGUUGUUACAAGCAAGAAACGGAUUGCAAAUGGAUAUGUACAAGUUUUCAGACCAACUUAUCAACUCAGUUUCAACCCGUUGUGUGUGUUGCCGUGUGCGUGGUUUCACUGACUGCCCUGCUUCAGGCACUGCUAAUUCCAAAUCGGUGCGGUUUACCACGCCGGUUGCUCACAAAAUUCAGGGUAAAAGGCUAGAACUAUCUGAAUCCGAAGCUACAUCGCCUGUCUCACAGAACGUGUCUCUGCGCAAGCGUUCCGCCAAUAUGGAUGACUCCGUGUCUAGCAGCAAAAAAACGACGUCAGCAGCCUCUUUCAAUGUCGUAAAUCACUUCAAGGCUUGCCUCAUGUCCAUCGCUGAAAUGUAUGCUGACCUUCCUGCCAACCCCCCUAUAACUGUAUUCGGCCAACGUUCCAACAAUCUUCAGAAGAGGGAAUACAUAUUCCAGCACGGCUUCGCAACUGAUCCCUGGUGCAGGGGAGUUGCGCCGCAUCCCCCACAUGCACCAACAACGGACAUUAUUGCUGCCCAUUUCCUGGAGCUGUCACAGCAAGAUCUCUUGAGGCACUACAUUGUACACGCCAGUCCCAGGCUUAUCCGCAUUACUGGGAUGGCUAUGCUUGAUCAGCUAAUUGGAUCGCGCCCCCUUGACCAUGAGCUUGCCUCUAUAAUCAUGAGAAGGUAUUCUCAGUCCGAUCAGGAAGCCAAUUCGGAGUGCUCCUACAUGAAUUGGAGGCACAACAUUGAACCUGAAUUUGCGACCAUCGUUCUCGCUGACCACGAGUACUUGACAAACAUAUCAAUUCAGAAGCAGCUUGUUGGAAACGACAUCCCAUACGACAUUACAUCAUGCCAGAUGUUCUUCCUGCCUGUCCCACUCGAGGACGGCUGGAUAGUGAUCAUGUGGGACAUGAUGUCAAGGAAACUCCAUGUACUCGACCCGCUCAUCAGGGGUGAAGGUCCACACAACGCAACUAGAGACAAGCUCGAGAUGGUUGUCUGGAAGCUACACCACGCACUUUUCCAAUGCCUUAAUGAGUAUUAUGUUGGGUGGCCAACGCAAGACGGACAGUGGGCUACUAAAUACCCCGUAAUAGCUCAAGAAACCUUUUGCAGAGAUGAAACUGAUGGGUGCGUACUCCAUAUAGUUAGGCACUACGAUGGCCAGAAGCUCAAAAUACCUCUGACCAAGUUCAAUGCUGGCAGAACUAAAAGGCAAGCACUUCAUGAGUGCAUCAAGCUGCAGGGAAACUCAUCAAAGUUGGCCCAUGAGGCACUCUGGACUGUCCUGGCACCAACGGACUCAUGGGUUGAUUCAGUCCAUUCCGGGAUCCCUCCAGGCCCCCCAACCACAGCAUGCCAGACGUUCUUAACCUGGUCGAAUGCAUCAGCAUGCCUUGUCUGUCGGAUAACAACACACCAAGUUAUACAGAAUAUCAGUCUCCACCAUCGCGAACUCGAUUUUCAACGCUUUGCAUUCUUACUAUGUGCUACUUAG
rnacentral:rRNA from 1 species